rnacentral:rRNA from 1 species
GUCCACGCUGUAAACGAUGAGUGCUAGACGUUGGUGGGCCUAGCUUGCCAGUGUCGCAGCUAACGCGAUAAGCACUCCGCCUGGGGAGUACGGCCGCAAGGUUAAAACUCAAAGGAAUUGACGGGGGCCCGCACAAGCGGUGGAGCAUGUGGUUUAAUUCGAUGCAACGCGAAGAACCUUACCAGCCCUUGACAUGGGGAGUUUGAGGCCGAGAGAUUGGUCUCUUCAGUUCGGCUGGCUCCCACACAGGUGCUGCAUGGCUGUCGU